UAAAGGGCUGUUCGAAAAGGAGACCGCCACUUGGAUAGCAAUGUCUGGUCGAGGCAAGGGUGGGAAGGGCCUGGGCAAGGGGGGCGCCAAGCGCCAUCGCAAGGUUCUGCGCGACAACAUCCAGGGGAUCACCAAGCCCGCCAUCCGGCGGCUGGCCCGGCGCGGCGGCGUCAAGCGCAUCUCCGGGCUCAUCUACGAGGAGACCCGCGGGGUGCUUAAGGUGUUCCUGGAGAACGUGAUCCGGGACGCUGUCACCUACACGGAGCACGCCAAGCGCAAGACCGUCACGGCCAUGGACGUGGUCUACGCGCUCAAGCGCCAGGGCCGCACCCUCUAUGGCUUCGGGGGCUGAGCACCCACAGCCCACCGUAUUUCCAAACUCAAAGGCCCUUUUCAGGGCCGCCCACAAAAUCACUUUAAAGGGCUGUUGUGCUUAGUAGAAAUAAGUUUGGGGUAGUGAAAGGUUAGUAAGUUUGAAGUACGUUACCAUUUACGCAGCGAUGUAAUCCAGAUCACGGGAUAUUUACACCACAGCAUACUUAGAGUUUUGCGGAAAACCCAUUUUUUAAAAAAGCGGUCAGUUACACGGUGGCAAUGAAAUGGUUUCAGGACAGAAAUGAGUAUUUUAUGCAAUCGGGAGCAUCCCGACUUAGGUCGUUUUUGGGUCGUUUGGAUGAGGGCAGAGCCGGCAGCGUCCAGGGCGCAAAGCUCUCGGGUCACACCAGCUUCUGUGUAAAAGAAUGUCCUUUGGGGACAAGCUCUGAUUGGAUGAUACUCGCUGUACUGCAGGAAAAAAAUGGGGAGGGUGGGAUUUCAGCACCAUUUUCCUGUUGGCUUAAAGGGUGUAAUAUCUGUCCCCGGAACUGGCAGAAAAAGCUUCGUUGGUUUGCUUUGUUUUUAACCCGCUGUAUGCCAGGCGCUAAAGUGGCGCGAGGAACAAAGGCGCCCAGGAUCGCGGGGGCCAGUUCUCGACGGAUUCGAGCAGUGCCAGGGACCUGCCGGCUUCCAGGCGGGGGUCUGAGGUCGGUGCACUGCUGGGCGCGGCAGUCGGACAAAGGACUCACGGCCUUGCCAGAGAUGUAAGCUCCACGAUGGCGGCGAGUCGCCCCUUUCCGAAGGGACAGUCACUGAAGGCCGGCCCACGAAACCCUCGUUUCUCCCUGCUGGCCGGAUGCCGAGGCUCCCGCAAGAGCUCUGAGACCCGAGGAUAUCCGAGGCACAAGCUGGAAGGAACCAUCCCUGAAAGACAUGGAGCCACGUGCUACUGCCUCGUUGUGACCGGACAUUAAAUGACAUUGUGUAACAGACUGAGAGCCUUCUGUCGUGGCUAGCCACUAAGUUUGGGGGAUCUGUUCCAUAGAACAAAGUAUCAGAGACCUUACUUUGACCUGAGGCUUGUCUAGUGACGCGGACUCCACAUUGCCCUUCACAGUAGCCCUUGAUCCUAGAUCCGGUCUCCUAGUCCAUGAUCAGCAAUGUUCUCCCCCAGCAAAUGCCAGACACCAGAGCUCCCACCCCACACACUGGCUCCUUCAAGCCCUGUGCGCACUGGGGCAGCCUGCCCAGAAUUUCAUUCCUGGGUUCAUCAUCGUGGCCCCUCCUCAUUGCCCUCACUGCUUUAAUCCUGCUUUCUUCUGUUUUUCGGUUUUUUCUCCACGACACUUGCCUUCCAACAGACCAGAGAUUUUCAUUAUCCAUUAUGUUUUCCAGUCUUACCCUCCCAGAGUCCUAGCUCCCUGAGGGAAGGGAUUUUGUGAUUCUGCCCACAUGAACUUGGCACACAGUAGGCAUUCAAAACUGUUAUUGAAUGAAUUGAUUCAUUCAAUCAUUUAUGUAUACUGACUAUGUGCCGGGCCCAGUAACAGCCCCUGGGGAUACCCUGUGACCAAAUCAGAGCUCAGAGCCUAUUGGACAUGACAACUAGAUGAGUAGUAACAAUUAAUUGCAAACGGAGCAAGGAGCAUGCUGAACAUUUGGCGGGAAAAAAAAAAAAAAAAAAAAAAAAAAAAAAAAAAAAAAAAAAAAAAAAAAAAAAAAAAAAAAAAAAAAAAAAAAAAAAAAUUGAAAGAAAGAGAGAAAGAGAAAGAACUCCAGGGACUUAAAAAUGAAUAUAAGAAAGGAAAUGUAACAGUAGUUCACCAUAUGGCUCAGCUGGAAAUAGGGUUCUCUAACCUCAUAGCAAU
rnacentral:lncRNA from 1 species